GGUGUCACGCCCCGGGACCGGCGGAGGCCCUCCCGGUAGCGUGCCCAGACCCGCCAUAUGUCUACACAUAUAAGGCGUCUACAAUAAAAGCGGAAGUAAAAGCAAGUAAUAGAACAAAUAGAAGAAGUGGAAUAAUGAGCAGCUAAUGAUAUCAGAGCGAGUAAAGUUCUAAUAUCUACACCAAGGUAAAGAAGUAAAGCUAGACAAUAAAAGAAAUCAUAAGUAGUACAAUAUCUGUCUCAAAAGUACAAAAACGGUGGUCUCUAAUACACUGGUAGAACUCUCAACCUCUCGCAAAAGGAAACAAAAAUCGAGAGGUAGACCACCUAGCAACUAGUCCUCGAAGGAAGCUAGCUCGAAGCAACUCCCUUCCCGCGAUCCCUGGCCUCACCCUGAGUGGAAGGCUCUGUAAAAUAUCGAGAAAAAGAGGGCAUGAGAACUAUAAUUUAUAGUUCCCAGUGGGCAAUUACUGACCUCAGCUCAAUGCACCACUAGGCCCCAAAAGAAGAGGGUAAGUACAAUAAU
rnacentral:lncRNA from 1 species